rnacentral:pre_miRNA from 1 species
UUUAAGUAUAGUUAUAGAUUUUCGUGUCAAUGUUUGAUCGUCUGUUUUAUUAAAAACAAUUAAGAUUAAUAUUUUUUUAUUGUUAGAUGAUAAAACAAUGAAUAAUUUCUUAUGCGUGACUUUUUUUAUUUUAUUUAUAAAUUAUUUAAGUUAGACCGACGGUUAAACGUUGGGACGAGUAUUAUAUACUACAUGUAUA